rnacentral:rRNA from 1 species
GACGAACGCUGGCGGCGUGCUUAACACAUGCAAGUCGAACGGAAAGGCCCUGCUUGCAGGGUACUCGAGUGGCGAACGGGUGAGUAACACGUGGGUGAUCUGCCCUGCACUUCGGGAUAAGCCUGGGAAACUGGGUCUAAUACCGGAUAGGAGCCAUUUUUAGUGUGAUGGUUGGAAAGUUUUUUCGGUGUAGGAUGAGCUCGCGGCCUAUCAGCUUGUUGGUGGGGUAAUGGCCUACCAAGGCGGCGACGGGUAGCCGGCCUGAGAGGGUGGACGGCCACAUUGGGACUGAGAUAAGGCCCAGACUCCUACGGGAGGCAGCAGUGGGGAAUAUUGCACAAUGGGCGCAAGCCUGAUGCAGCGACGCCGCGUGGGGGAUGACGGCCUUCGGGUUGGAAACUCCUUUCGCUAGGGACGAAGCUUUUUGUGACGGUACCUAGAUAAGAAGCACCGGCUAACUACGUG